AAGCACUUCGGUGCGAGUACAGCGGCGGACGGGUGAGUAACGCGUAGGAAUCUACCCAGUAGUGGGGGACAACAGUCGGAAACGGCUGCUAAUACCGCAUACGCCCUACGGGGGAAAGCGGGGGACCUUCGGGCCUCGCGCUAUUGGAUGAGCCUGCGUCGGAUUAGCUAGUUGGUGGGGUAAAGGCCUACCAAGGCGACGAUCCGUAGCUGGUCUGAGAGGAUGAUCAGCCACACUGGGACUGAGACACGGCCCAGACUCCUACGGGAGGCAGCAGUGGGGAAUAUUGCGCAAUGGGGGCAACCCUGACGCAGCCAUGCCGCGUGUGUGAAGAAGGCCCUAGGGUUGUAAAGCACUUUCAAUUGGGAAGAAAAGCUCAUCGUUAAUAGCGGUGAGCCCUGACAUUACCUUUAGAAGAAGCACCGGCUAACUCCGUGCCAGCAGCCGCGGUAAUACGGAGGGUGCGAGCGUUAAUCGGAAUUACUGGGCGUAAAGCGCGCGUAGGCGGUUUGUUAAGUCAGCUGUGAAAGCCCUGGGCUCAACCUGGGAACUGCAGUUGAUACUGGCCGACUAGAGUACGAGAGAGGGAGGUAGAAUUCCACGUGUAGCGGUGAAAUGCGUAGAUAUGUGGAGGAAUACCAGUGGCGAAGGCGGCCUCCUGGCUCGAUACUGACGCUGAGGCGCGAAAGCGUGGGGAGCAAAUAGGAUUAGAUACCCUGGUAGUCCACGCCGUAAACGAUGUCUACUAGCCGUUGGGAGACUUGAUUUCUUAGUGGCGCAGCUAACGCACUAAGUAGACCGCCUGGGGAGUACGGCCGCAAGGUUAAAACUCAAAUGAAUUGACGGGGGCCCGCACAAGCGGUGGAGCAUGUGGUUUAAUUCGAUGCAACGCGAAGAACCUUACCAGGUCUUGACAUCCUGCGAAGUUACCAGAGAUGGUUUCGUGCCUUCGGGAACGCAGUGACAGGUGCUGCAUGGCUGUCGUCAGCUCGUGUCGUGAGAUGUUGGGUUAAGUCCCGUAACGAGCGCAACCCUUGUCCUUAGUUGCAGCACUUUCAGGUGGGAACUCUAAG
rnacentral:rRNA from 1 species